rnacentral:rRNA from 1 species
UACAGAGGGUGCGAGCGUUAAUCGGAAUUACUGGGCGUAAAGGGUGCGUAGGUGGUUUGAUAAGUUAGGUGUGAAAGUCCUGGGCUUAACCUGGGGAUUGCGCCUGAUACUGUUAGACUAGAGUACUGUAGAGGAAAGUGGAAUUUCCGGUGUAGCGGUGAAAUGCGUAGAUAUCGGAAGGAACACCAGUGGCGAAGGCGACUUUCUGGACAGAUACUGACACUGAGGCACGAAAGCAUGGGGAGCAAACAGG